rnacentral:misc_RNA from 1 species
AUCAUUCAAAGAGUGGAGUGUGUAUGGAGCAGGAGUGCCUCUCCUAUUAAAUGGGAGUGACACUGUUAAACAGUACUAUGUCCCGUCCUUGUCAGGCAUACAAUUGUAUGUAGACCCAAGUAGGUUGAGGAGGCAUGGAGAGUAUAGUGAUGCUGAGUCUUCAAAGGAGACAAGCGGUGCUGGUAGUAGUGACUUUGAAGCAGAAAAGCACACUAAAGGUGGUGUUGACGGUGCAGAUCAGCAUUAUCUCAAGAACUUAAACUCACAGGGAAUGCAGAGGCUUAUCUUGAGAGAUAAACCUCUUCAUUG